GGCGGCGUGCUUAACACAUGCAAGUCGAACGAUGAAGCCCUUCGGGGUGGAUUAGUGGCGAACGGGUGAGUAACACGUGGGCAAUCUGCCCUUCACUCUGGGACAAGCCCUGGAAACGGGGUCUAAUACCGGAUAUCACUCCUGCAGGCAUCUGCGGGGGUCGAAAGCUCCGGCGGUGAAGGAUGAGCCCGCGGCCUAUCAGCUUGUUGGUGAGGUAAUGGCUCACCAAGGCGACGACGGGUAGCCGGCCUGAGAGGCCGACCGGCCACACUGGGACUGAGACACGGCCCAGACUCCUACGGGAGGCAGCAGUGGGGAAUAUUGCACAAUGGGCGAAAGCCUGAUGCAGCGACGCCGCGUGAGGGAUGACGGCCUUCGGGUUGUAAACCUCUUUCAGCAGGGAAGAAGCGAGAGUGACGGUACCUGCAGAAGAAGCGCCGGCUAACUACGUGCCAGCAGCCGCGGUAAUAGGUACGGCGCAAGCGUUGUCCGGAAUUAUUGGGCGUAAAGAGCUCGUAGGCGGCUUGUCACGUCGGAUGUGAAAGCCCGAGGCUUAACCUCGGGUCUGCAUUCGAUACGGGCUAGCUAGAGUGUGGUAGGGGAGAUCGGAAUUCCUGGUGUAGCGGUGAAAUGCGCAGAUAUCAGGAGGAACACCGGUGGCGAAGGCGGAUCUCUGGGCCAUUACUGACGCUGAGGAGCGAAAGCGUGGGGAGCGAACAGGAUUAGAUACCCUGGUAGUCCACGCCGUAAACGUUGGGAACUAGGUGUUGGCGACAUUCCACGUCGUCGGUGCCGCAGCUAACGCAUUAAGUUCCCCGCCUGGGGAGUACGGCCGC
rnacentral:rRNA from 1 species